CACAAACCUAAGUGCUUUCUCUGUGUGGCCGCCGUUCGUAUAACCGAACAACACAUGCUCUAGAAAACAGCAGCACUUGGUCGUUGAGCGGUUGGAACUCAAAGACGGAUACUCACACUCGCAUACCCCAGUAACUUUGUGCCAACGACUGCUUCUGUUCCCAGCAAGACAGGCGAGCGCUACCUACGAGUCAGGGGAACCAUUUUGGUGCACCAAACGCCCUGGAACUGUUCUGGGCAUGGGACCACCUGUGCGGCCGGUCAGAACUUUUCCCCAGUGGCGGUUUAGAAUUCAUGAAUCUGAGCGCUAUUUGGACAACUUGGGCGCUCAGAUCAAGGCCAUCUGGGGAUGUAAUACUUGUGGGUGUUCCUAUCCAUAUUAUGUGUAUUUUGGGGUGUUUUCUGUAAUAAUUUGUACCUCUAGUGCCUGGGAGAUAAUUAGUUUAAGGUAAUGGAGGAGCCUGCCAGCUAGCCUAUUACCCAAGGACUAUGGGCCAUAUCCAAAGACCCUGUUCUGGAGUUAACCCUGGGUGCCCCAGGUGCGGCACGUUCCCUUCAUUCGAAUGGAACCGAACACAAGCUCCCUGGAGGCCGUUUGAAUGAAGAAACCCA